UACAGAGGGUGCGAGCGUUAAUCGGAAUUACUGGGCGUAAAGCGUGCGUAGACGGUUGUUUAAGUCGGAUGUGAAAGCCCCGGGCUCAACCUGGGAAUUGCAUUCGAGACUGAAUAGCUAGGGUGCGGUAGAGGGAAGCGGAAUUUCCGGUGUAGCGGUGAAAUGCGUAGAUAUCGGAAGGAACAUCAGUGGCGAAAGCGGCUUCCUGGACCAGCACCGACGUUCAGGCACGAAAGCGUGGGGAGCAAACAGG
rnacentral:rRNA from 1 species